AAGACUAUACUUUCAGGGAUCAUUUCUAUAGUUUGUUACUAGAGAAAUCUCACUGAUGGUGUAGAGUACUGGAUCACAAACAAGA
rfam:Dipodomys ordii contig_10961, whole genome shotgun sequence.